CUGGACUUAGAGGGAAAAAAAGGCCUGACAAGGGUACAGAAUCAGGGUUAGACACUCAUCUGGAGGAGCGAUUUAGGUCCACUCCACCCUGCCUGGGGCGAGGGAAUGGAUUUAGUGACCUUUUGUGGCCCCUCUUCCAGCUCCGUCCUCUGCCCCUGCCGAGGUUUACUCCUUUUGAUCUACACUUCCCGUGCACAGUCUGUUCCACCCCCGGGGCUCACAAUAUACCUCUUUUAUGGGGAACGUUCCAGAGAACCGUUACCUCAUGGCGAGCGCUCCAGCAGUUUCUGUUCCUCCGGGUGCCUGUUGCUCAAUGUAACGGUAGCCAAUUAGUCAAGACAAGGAAAUCCCCUGUCCCCCGGGCAGGCUCUGCCCCAGCAGCUCUGGCGCCGCAGCCCAGGCCAUGCCCGGCCCCAGCCACAGCCCGUGGGCACCUCGGCGUGGCUCACGGUGACCAGCGCGGCCGCCCACGGUACCGGUACCGCGCUCCCGCCUCUCAGCAUGGAUGAGAGUUACUGCAGGGAGCUUCUGCAGAGGCUUUAACCACCCUUAGGUUUGGAAAGCGUUAUAAAACGGAUGUGUCAAACUACUGCAGCUCCACCUCCAUAGAGCUUUCUCUUUGCUUUGGUUGUGAAAAUUAAGAGCUAUCGAAUAAACGUGUGUUCACGGAGA